rnacentral:rRNA from 1 species
AUACUGAAUACAUAGGUAUGGGAGGCGAACCCGGUGAACUGAAACAUCUAAGUAGCCGGAGGAAAAUAAAUCAACCGAGAUUCCCCAAGUAGUGGCGAGCGAACGGGGAGCAGCCUGCUAGUGAUAGCAGCUUUGUUAGCAGAACGGAAUGGAAAGUCCGGCCGUAGUGGGUGAUAGCCCCGUAUGCGAAAACAUCGCUGUGGUACUAAGUUAGCAAAAAGUAGGGCGGGGCACGUGAAACCUUGUCUGAACAUGGGGGGACCAUCCUCCAAGGCUAAAUACUCGUGAUCGACCGAUAGUGAACCAGUACCGUGAGGGAAAGGCGAAAAGAACCCCGGGAGGGGAGUGAAAUAGAACCUGAAACCGCAUGCAUACAAACAGUGGGAGCCUCCUUGUGGGGUGACUGCGUACCUUUUGUAUAAUGGUCAGCGACUUACGUUGUGUUGCGAGCUUAACCGAUAGGGGAGGCGUAGCGAAAGCGAGUCUGAUAAGGGCGUUUA